GGGCAAGUGGCGGAAUUGGUAGACGCACUGGAUUUAGGUUCCAGCGCCCUUGCGGUGUGAGAGUUCGAGUCUCUCCUUGCCCACCA
rnacentral:tRNA from 5 species